rnacentral:rRNA from 1 species
GUAGGUCCCGAGCGUUGUCCGGAUUUAUUGGGCGUAAAGCGAGCGCAGGCGGUUAGAUAAGUCUGAAGUUAAAGGCUGUGGCUUAACCAUAGUACGCUUUGGAAACUGUUUAACUUGAGUGCAAGAGGGGAGAGUGGAAUUCCAUGUGUAGCGGUGAAAUGCGUAGAUAUAUGGAGGAACACCGGUGGCGAAAGCGGCUCUCUGGCUUGUAACUGACGCUGAGGCUCGAAAGCGUGGGGAGCAAACAGGGAUUAGAUACCCUGGUAGUCCACGCCGUAAACGAUGAGUGCUAGGUGUUAGACCCCUUUCCGGGGUUUAGUGCCCGCAGCUAACGCAUUAAGCACUCCGCCUGGGGAUACGACCGCAAGGUUG